AGUGAACGCUGGCGGUAGGCCUAACACAUGCAAGUCGAACGGCAGCACAGGAGAGCUUGCUCUCUGGGUGGCGAGUGGCGGACGGGUGAGGAAUACAUCGGAAUCUACUCUGUCGUGGGGGAUAACGUAGGGAAACUUACGCUAAUACCGCAUACGACCUACGGGUGAAAGCAGGGGAUUUUCGGACCUUGCGCGAUUGAAUGAGCCGAUGUCGGAUUAGCUAGUUGGCGGGGUAAAGGCCCACCAAGGCGACGAUCCGUAGCUGGUCUGAGAGGAUGAUCAGCCACACUGGAACUGAGACACGGUCCAGACUCCUACGGGAGGCAGCAGUGGGGAAUAUUGGACAAUGGGCGCAAGCCUGAUCCAGCCAUACCGCGUGGGUGAAGAAGGCCUUCGGGUUGUAAAGCCCUUUUGUUGGGAAGGAAAUCCAGCUGGCUAAUACCCGGUUGGGAUGACGGUACCCAAAGAAUAAGCACCGGCUAACUUCGUGCCAGCCGCCGCCGUAA
rnacentral:rRNA from 1 species